UGGCGGAAUGCUUACACAUGCAAGUCGAGCGGCAGCGCGGGGCAACCUGGCGGCGAGCGGCGAACGGGUGAGUAAUGCAUCGGAACAUGUCCAUGUCGUGGGGGAUAGCCCGGCGAAAGCCGGAUUAAUACCGCAUACGCCCGAGAGGGGAAAGUGGGGGACCGCAAGGCCUCACGCGAUUGGGUUGGCCGAUGUCCGAUUAGCUAGUUGGUGGGGUAAAGGCUUACCAAGGCGAUGAUCGGUAGCUGGUCUGAGAGGAUGAUCAGCCACACUGGGACUGAGACACGGCCCAGACUCCUACGGGAGGCAGCAGUGGGGAAUUUUGGACAAUGGGGGCAACCCUGAUCCAGCCAUUCCGCGUGAGUGAAGAAGGCCUUCGGGUUGUAAAGCUCUUUUGUCCGGAACGAAACGGUUAGUUCUAAUACGACUGACUACUGACGGUACCGGAAGAAUAAGCACCGGCUAACUACGUGCCAGCAGCCGCGGUAAUACGUAGGGUGCGAGCGUUAAUCGGAAUUACUGGGCGUAAAGCGUGCGCAGGCGGUUUUGUAAGCCAGAUGUUAAAUCCCCGGGCUUAACCUGGGAAUGGCAUUUGGGACUGCA
rnacentral:rRNA from 1 species